rnacentral:tRNA from 1 species
GCGCCCGUAGCUCAGUUGGAUAGAGCGUCGGACUUCGAAUCCGAAGGUCGCAGGUUCGAUCCCUGCCGGGCGCACCC